rnacentral:rRNA from 1 species
AAGGUAAACGGGUGGCCCCUUGAAGUCCUGUGGCGGGAGGAUUCAGUCUCGGGUGGCCGUCGCGCUGGUUGGAAAGAAGGAUUCCCGCAUCGGGGCCGUCCGACCGCGACUUUCGGCGAGGAGAGAUGCAGUUGACUCCCGCUCGAAGGACGCCGCAGCCUGUCUGGCAGAGCAAACGUGACGGCCUGGAGGGCGGACGAGGGCAGGUGGCCGGUAUCGAUCUCUACGGUCGAGAAUCGGUUUUUAGCCGGUCCGUCGGUGGCCCGUCGCCAGACAGAGGUAUACCUCGAACACCCUCGAGAGCGGGGCGGAACGUCGCGAGCUGGGCCGGCCGCACUCCGUCGGAGUGGGCCAGUUCCGGUCCUCGUGCGAAAAACGGACCCGUCGGUGUCGUAGGUUGGCGGCGAGUAGGUCGGUAACCCACCUGACCCGUCUUGAAACACGGACCAAGGAGUCUAACAUGUGCGCGAGUCAAUGGGUCUCGAUUAAGCCCAGGGGCGCAACGAAAGCGAAGGUCGGCGGACCGCCGAACGAGUCGGGAUCCCGUUCCUUCGGGGGUGGGCGCACCGACGACCCGUCCUCUGCGCGUUCGACGCUUGGACGGAGUGAGAGCGCACACGUUGGGACCCGAAAGAUGGUGAACUAUGCCCAGACAGGAUGAAGCCAGGGGAAACCCUGGUGGAGGUCCGCAGCGGUCUGACG